GAAAAUCCGUUGAAUUUUCAAUUCGUGAGGGUUCAAGUCCCUCUAUCCCCA
rnacentral:tRNA from 1 species